rnacentral:rRNA from 1 species
ACUCAAAGGAAUUGACGGGGGCCCGCACAAGCGGAGGAGCAUGUGGCUUAAUUCGAUGCAACGCGAAGAACCUUACCAGGGUUUGAAAUGCAACUGCACGUCCCGUGAAAGCGGGAUUCCUUCGAGGGUGUUGCACAGGUGCUGCAUGGCUGUCGUCAGUUCGUGCCGUGAGGUGUUGGGUUAAGUCCCACAACGAACGCAACCCUUGUGUUUAGUUGCCAUCACCGGUGAUGAACCGGUGAGCACUCUAGACAGACUGCCCGUGUUAAGCGGGAGGAAGGUGGGGAUGACGUCAAGUCAGUAUGGCCUUUAUAUCCUGGGCUGCACACGUGCUACAAUGGCCGGUCCAGAGGGAUGCAAUACCGCAAGGUGGAGCAAAUCCCCAAAAAGCGGCCUCAGUACGGAUUGGAGUCUGCAACUCGACUCCAUGAAGUUGGAUUCGCUAGUAACGACGCAUCAGCUACGGUGUCGUGAAUACGUUCCCGGGCCUUGUACACACCGCCCGU